GACGAACGCUGGCGGCGUGCUUAACACAUGCAAGUCGAACGGAAAGGCCCUGCUUUUGUGGGGUGCUCGAGUGGCGAACGGGUGAGUAACACGUGAGUAACCUGCCCUUGACUUUGGGAUAACUUCACGAAACUGGGGCUAAUACCGGAUAGGAGCUCCUGCUGCAUGGUGGGGGUUGGAAAGUUUCGGCGGUUGGGGAUGGACUCGCGGCUUAUCAGCUUGUUGGGGGGGUAGUGGCUUACCAAGGCUUUGACGGGUAGCCGGCCUGAGAGGGUGACCGGCCACAUUGGGACUGAGAGACGGCCCAGAAUCCAACGGGAGGCAGCAGUGGGGAAUAUUGCAGAAUGGGCGGAAGCGUGAUGCAGCAACGCUGCGUGCGGGAUGACGGCCUACGGGUUGUAAACAGCUUUCGACUGUGACGAAGCGUGAGUGACGGUAAUGGGUAAAGAAGCAACGGCUAACUACGUG
rnacentral:rRNA from 1 species